AUACGGAGGAUCCGAGCGUUAUCCGGAUUUAUUGGGUUUAAAGGGUGCGUAGGCGGUUCAAUAAGUCAGUGGUGAAAGUUUUCGGCUUAACCGGAAAAUUGCCGUUGAUACUGUUGGGCUUGAAUUUGGUUGCUGUGAGUGGAAUGUGUGGUGUAGCGGUGAAAUGCUUAGAUAUUACACAGAAUAUCGAUUGCGAAGGCAUCUCACAAAGCCAAUAUUGACGCUGAUGCACGAAAGUGUGGGGAUCAAACAGGAUUAGAUACCCUGGUAGUCCACACUGUAAACGAUGAUAACUCGCUGUCGGCGAUAGAUAGUCGGUGGCCAAGCGAAAGCGAUAAGUUAUCCACCUGGGGAGUACGACCGCAAGGUUGAA
rnacentral:rRNA from 1 species